rnacentral:rRNA from 1 species
UGGGGAAUAUUGGACAAUGGGGGGAACCCUGAUCCAGCCAUGCCGCGUGUGUGAAGAAGGCCUUAUGGUUGUAAAGCACUUUAAGCGAGGAGGAGGCUCUUCUAGUUAAUACCUAGGAUGAGUGGACGUUACUCGCAGAAUAAGCACCGGCUAACUCUGUGCCAGCAGCCGCGGUAAUACAGAGGGUGCGAGCGUUAAUCGGAUUUACUGGGCGUAAAGCGUGCGUAGGCGGCUGAUUAAGUCGGAUGUGAAAUCCCUGAGCUUAACUUGGGAAUUGCAUUCGAUACUGGUUAGCUAGAGUGUGGGGGAGGAUGGUAGAAUUCCAGGUGUAGCGGUGAAAUGCGUAGAGAUCUGGAGGAAUACCGAUGGCGAAGGCAGCCAUCUGGCCUAACACUGACGCUGAGGUACGAAAGCAUGAGGAGCAAACAGG